CGCAUCUGUGCAUGCAGCAUAUCAAUAAGCGGAGGAAAAGAAACUAACAAGGAUUCCCCUAGUAACGGCGAGUGAAGCGGGAAGAGCUCAAAUUUGAAAUCUUAAAGGGUUUCCCUUUACGAAUUGUAGUUUAAAGAAGUGUUUUCUGUUGAGGUUUUGGUAAAAGUUCUUUGGAAUAGGACAUCAUAGAGGGUGAGAAUCCCGUAUUUGACCUUUACUUUCAACUUUGUGAUACACUUUCAAAGAGUCGGAUUGUUUGGGAAUGCAGUCCAAAAUGGGUGGUAAAUUUCAUCUAAAGCUAAAUAUUGGCGAGAGACCGAUAGCGAACAAGUACCGUGAGGGAAAGAUGAAAAGAACUUUGAAAAGAGAGUUAAACAGUACGUGAAAUCGUCAAAAGGGAAGCGUUUGACACCAGUGUUGUUUUUCUGAAAAUCAAUUAAAGAACUGUUUAUGCUAAGUUGUUUAGACUUUAUCAGCUAACUGUUUAGUUUUGAGCUUUUCUUUAAUGCACUUUUCAGUUAACAAGUCAACAUCAAUUUCUUUUGCUGUAAAAAAGCUUGAGGAAGGUGGCUUGAGAUUCGUCUUAAGUGUUUAUAGCCUCUUGCCUAUGCAGUCGGAGAGAUUGAGGUCUGCAGCGUAGAUCCUUCGGGGCUAAAUGCAUUUGUGCUAAGUUAUAAGCAUUUUAUAGACAACUUGUUGACUAUGAUUUGUCUUGUAGCUUACUCGCUUAUGUUAUUUUACCUACGCUUAGGAUGUUGACAGCAGUAUAGACUGU
rnacentral:rRNA from 1 species